rnacentral:tRNA from 1 species
UAGCUAAGUCUGGCCUACGGCGCCGGCCUUGAGAGCCGGUGGGCUUCGUGCCCUCGGGAGUUCGAAUCUCCCCCUCUG